GAUGAUUUAGAAAAUGGUUCAAGAAGAGACAAUUUAAGAAUUAUUGGACUACCAGAAGACCAAGACAAAAGAAAAAGCCUGGACAUAAUACUAGAGGAAAUUAUCCAGGAAAACUGUCCCGAGAUCCUAGAACAAGAGGGGAAAGUGGAGAUUGAAAGAAUCCACAGAUCACCUCCUGUACUUAAUCCCCAACUGACAACACCAAGAAAUGUUAUAGCCAAAUUAAAAAACAAUCAGAUGAAAGAACAGGUAUUACAAGCUGCCAAGAAGAAGCCAUUCCGAUACCAUGGAAACACAGUGAGGAUAACACAGGAUCUGUCUACAUCCACACUGAAGGACCAAAAGGCAUGGAAUACAAUAUUCCGGAAAGCAAGGAAACUAGGCCUGCAGCCAAGAAUAAAAUACCCAUCAAAACUGACUAUAUUCUUACAGGGGAAAGUAUGGUCAUUUAACACAACAGAAGAGUUCCAAGCAUUUAUAAAUAAAAGACGAGACCAGAACAGAAAAUUUGAAGUCCAACCACAGAACUCAAGAGAAUCAUCAAAAGGUAGAAGAGGAUGAUCCAGUCAAGUUCUUUGCUAUUUGGUCACUACAUUCUUCUUCUGGAACCAACAAGAAACUUGCUGCUGAGAUUAUUAUUAAGACAGCUGAAAGUCUGGUUUGUGUAAUUAAAAUACUAAUUGGAAAUUCACCAUUAAUGAGAGGAAAUCUGAGUCCAAAAUUUCCCUUUCUUUUCUUUUCUUUUCUUUUCUUUUCUUUUCUUUUCUUUUCUUUUCUUUUCUUUUUCUUUUCCAAAGUGGUUACUUUCCAAUGGUGGCAGAUGCUGAGUUUGUGAAUUCAUUGUGUGUCCUGAGAUGGAGAGAAAUCUCUCCAAGCUAGGGCUUUUUUUUCCUAUCCCCAAAUUUUUGUUGAUUGUCUACUUAAAUUAACCUUCUCUAAUGAGAUGGAUCUAUGCUGGCUAUGUCUGUAAUUUACUGGCUGUGAAAUUAGUUAGUCUGGGUAAUUUAUCCCAGGGUGAGCUCACUAAGUGAACCACCAGGUAUAAUGAAGGAAACAGAGAUAUUUUAUAGGCCAGAACUUUGUGACAGACUCAAAAUAUGCAGAAUAUGGCAAUUCCACACUCCAGAUGACCCCCAUCAGUUACCUGAACACCUCUAAAGAGAGUAAAUUCCCUUUGGGUAACUACGCAGGGGCAAAUUAGCUUCUUAACCAGAUAACCACCAGAUGUCAGUGUUGGCUGAAAACAACAGUUAUGAAUCUACCCUCUUGUGUAAGUAAAAAAUAAAUUAAUUAAUUAAUCUUUGUUUUGUUUUGUU
rnacentral:lncRNA from 1 species